rnacentral:rRNA from 1 species
ACGGGUGAGUAAUACGUGAGUAACCUGCCCUUGACUCUGGGAUAAGCCUGGGAAACUGGGUCUAAUACUGGAUACUACCUCUUACCGCAUGGUGGGUGGUGGAAAGGGUUUUACUGGUUUUGGAUGGGCUCACGGCCUAUCAGCUUGUUGGUGGGGUAAUGGCUCACCAAGGCGACGACGGGUAGCCGGCCUGAGAGGGUGACCGGCCACACUGGGACUGAGACACGGCCCAGACUCCUACGGGAGGCAGCAGUGGGGAAUAUUGCACAAUGGGCGGAAGCCUGAUGCAGCGACGCCGCGUGAGGGAUGACGGCCUUCGGGUUGUAAACCUCUUUCAGUAGGGAAGAAGCGAGAGUGACGGUACCUGCAGAAGAAGCGCCGGCUAACUACGUGCCAGCAGCCGCGGUAAUACGUAGGGCGCAAGCGUUGUCCGGAAUUAUUGGGCGUAAAGAGCUCGUAGGCGGUUUGUCGCGUCUGCUGUGAAAGCCCGGGGCUCAACCCCGGGUCUGCAGUGGGUACGGGCAGACUAGAGUGCAGUAGGGGAGACUGGAAUUCCUGGUGUAGCGGUGAAAUGCGCAGAUAUCAGGAGGAACACCGAUGGCGAAGGCAGGUCUCUGGGCUGUUACUGACGCUGAGGAGCGAAAGCAUGGGGAGCGAACAGGAUUAGAUACCCUGGUAGUCCAUGCCGUAAACGUUGGGCACUAGGUGUGGGGGACAUUCCACGUUUUCCGCGCCGUAGCUAACGCAUUAAGUGCCCCGCCUGGGGAGUACGGCCGCAAGGCUAAAACUCAAAGGAAUUGACGGGGGCCCGCACAAGCGGCGGAGCAUGCGGAUUAAUUCGAUGCAACGCGAAGAACCUUACCAAGGCUUGACAUUCACCGGACCGCCCCAGAGAUGGGGUUUCCCUUCGGGGCUGGUGGACAGGUGGUGCAUGGUUGUCGUCAGCUCGUGUCGUGAGAUGUUGGGUUAAGUCCCGCAACGANCGCAACCCUCGUUCUAUGUUGCCAGCACGUGAUGGUGGGGACUCAUAGGAGACUGCCGGGGUCAACUC